rnacentral:lncRNA from 10 species
AGAUGUGGACUAAAAGAAAUGUUAAAGGAAGUUCUUCUGAUAGAAGGAAAAUUAUACCAGAUGCUAAUUUGGAUCUACAUGAGGGAAGGAAGAGCACUGCUUUCUUACCUUUCUUUGAAAGACCAAAAAAAAAAAGAAAAGAAAAAAGAAAGAAAGGGCACCAAGAAGAGAUUGUUUGGCACUGCGCGGUUCACCAUCAUGCGAUACUGACGUAAUGGUCUGGGGCACACUGACUGGCUGCCUCAGAACUGGUCACUCUCUCUUUCUUUUCGCAUAUGGAGCAGCAAUCAGCUUACAACUAAAUCACAUCUGAGCACAAGCUGUCUCCACAAAGCCAACCAAAGAGGCAACAUUCACAGGCUGACAAAGCAUCCCUAAAGCAGGAAAGAAAAGAAGCCCCUGAGGCUGCUGCCCGGAGAAGGAAAAGGCUUUCAACAUUCAUACCAGUCUGUUGGGGCAUUGUGCAGACCACAGAGGGAGAGUAACUGAUGGAAUACUCUCUGAAGUUCACACUUGGGCGAAGCUGCAUGUUUAACAUCAGGAGUGGGAGGAAAGUGUAAGUUACAAAAUAAACAAAUAAAAAGACAGAUAUAAAAAUAAGAAGGAAAUGCAGUGUCAGUGUGGUAACACCAGGGACUGGUGAUGUCUGUUGCAUAUUAGGCUUCUGGUGAACUCAAUUAAUUAUUUCCAAGCAGAAUUUUUGUGAAUUUAUAGUUUACAUAUAGUUUGCAUGUCAUUUAUUUUUUAAUGUAAGCAGUAGGAAGAGUCAUUUCUUGAAAGUACAAAUGACUUUUGUUUGGAAACACUUUAAAAAUGGUAACAGUGACUAAAGAUCAUCAAAUGAUAUCUAAAAUAUGGAUUAACUAUAAUACAUCUGUUCUCCCUGGGCAGACGGUUAGUUAAUCCUUUAUAAAUUAAUUACAAUGACAUCAUUGGAGAUCUCACAAAUGGAUUGUACAAGAAUAUACCAGCUCUGACUUAAUGUGGCCCUGAGAUCUGAGCCUUUUCUCUUUACUUAUCUAUUAACCUCGUCUCUACACUUGCUCCCCAUCCCUACGUAUGCAUCUUUCUACCCAUUCAGCACUCACCAAGGAGCUCACUAAUUUCUUCAUUGUAUUUACCUCUGUCAUCACCUCCCUCUUCUUAAAAGACUUCAACAAUACCAAGUCACAUCCUUUUGUGAUACUUUUUCAAAAGGACACUUUUGGUAGAUCCAUAUAUGGAAGCUGCUGAACUCCAAGUUGAUAGCACGCAAAUGUCAAUUUCCUUCUAACUGAGUAAACAGAAUAAUGAAAACAUUGAGCCUACUAUAAUUUGAAUGUGAGAUAUACAGGGUUUUAGAAUGACACUUAGAAUUUAAAAAGGUAAGAAAUUAGUUCACACUUGCGCGGAGUUCACCUCAUUUAUUUAAUAAUAUAAUUUACAGUUAGGUAGUCCUCACUUUUUGUCAGGUAACAAUUUUAUGGGUAAGGAAACUGAAGCCCAGAAAACUGCCAAAUUCCUAUGACUAACUAGUAGUAAAGAUGAGAUUUAAACUGUAGCUGUCUAAAUCUAGAAGUUGAGUUCUUAAUCUCUAUGUCAGACAAUGUAUUAUGCCAUUUUGUAUUAAAGUAUAUUUAAGAUUUUCUAUCAGUCCCU